rnacentral:rRNA from 1 species
GGGUUCCUACGGGGGGCAGCAGUGAGGAAUAUUGGUCAAUGGACGAGAGUCUGAACCAGCCAAGUAGCGUGAAGGAUGACUGCCCUAUGGGUUGUAAACUUCUUUUAUAUGGGUAUAAAAUGUUCCACGUGUGGGAUUUUGUAUGUACCAUAUGAAUAAGGAUCGGCUAACUCCGUGCCAGCAGCCGCGGUAAUACGGAGGAUCCGAGCGUUAUCCGGAUUUAUUGGGUUUAAAGGGAGCGGAGGUGUAUUGUUAAG